GAUAACUUGUGGACAUGAAGACUAAAACAACUCAUAUAGUGUGUUGUCCGUAGUAGCUUCUUCUCAGUAUUUAUUGAGAUCGGAGCUUUCAUAUCAGCAUAACAUUU